CACCUAAUUGCGGCACCGAAACGUACGUCUCACAGUCCACUAAAAAUUGGCCGGUUUGCACUGCACCAAGAGCCACGACUCGUUUUGUCAGGAAUUCGAUCGUUUGCGGUCCGGUUUUGUUUUCUGUCAUGGGAUAUUGCUGCAAACUGAUAAAUACAAAACGCCGGUUACUAGCGAGAAUUCACCGGGCUACACAACACGAAACACUUGUCAAAUGGAGAGAACGCGCGCAACUUAAAUGAAGUCUUGACGAUAUUUCGCGACGAACGGCAGAUGGCGCUGUAUGUAUGGAACAUGGCGACCUCUAAACUGGAAAGAAAUAAAACUCUACGUAUUGAGAUAUGGUAUGCAUCGAAC
rnacentral:misc_RNA from 1 species